rnacentral:rRNA from 1 species
UACGGAGGGAGCUAGCGUUGUUCGGAAUUACUGGGCGUAAAGCGCGCGUAGGCGGCUUUGUAAGUUAGAGGUGAAAGCUCGGAGCUCAACUCCGGAACUGCCUUUGAAACUGCAUCGCUUGAAUCCAGGAGAGGUGAGUGGAAUUCCGAGUGUAGAGGUGAAAUUCGUAGAUAUUCGGAAGAACACCAGUGGCGAAGGCGGCUCACUGGACUGGUAUUGACGCUGAGGAGCGAAAGUGUGGGGAGCGAACAGG